rnacentral:rRNA from 1 species
GACAGAGGUGCCGAGCGUUAGGCGGAAUCACUGGGCUUAAAGCGUGUGUAGGCGGACUUCUAAGUACCUUGUGAAAUCCCACGGCUCAACCGUGGAACUGCUCGGUAUACUGGUCGUCUUGAGCCACUUAGGGGCAGUCGGAACAGACGGUGGAGCGGUGAAAUGCGUAGAUAUCUGGAGGAACACCGGUGGCGAAGGCGGCAUCCUGGACCGGUAUUGACGCUGAGGCGCGAAAGCUAGGGGAGCAAACAGG